rnacentral:misc_RNA from 1 species
AUCAUGUGUAACAGUUUAUUCAGACAUGUUACCUUAUCUCUGCAAAAAUCAUAUCCUAUUUAUCUGUUAUUACGUCAGUCUAACCAAAAGCAGGAAUAGAAUAGUUGCACAUUUCAACAUGUUAGAUUUAUUGACUUUAUUAUUCAUUGAUGAACUUUCUUUGUCUGACUGAUGUUUCUGCUUUCACAGGGAGGCUCAACCAAUAGAAAAAUUGAAGGACGCCUACAAGAAAUUUCUCAUGAGAUCAAUGAGAA